rnacentral:rRNA from 1 species
UCAAGUGAAGAAGCGCAUACGGUGGAUGCCUUGGCAGUCAGAGGCGAUGAAAGACGUGGUAGCCUGCGAAAAGCUUCGGGGAGUCGGCAAACAGACUGUGAUCCGGAGAUGUCUGAAUGGGGGAACCCAGCCAUCAUAAGAUGGUUAUCUUGUACUGAAUACAUAGGUGCAAGAGGCGAACCAGGGGAACUGAAACAUCUAAGUACCCUGAGGAAAAGAAAUCAACCGAGAUUCCCUUAGUAGUGGCGAGCGAACGGGGACCAGCCCUUAAGUUGUAUUGAGAUUAGCGGAACGUUCUGGAAAGGACGGCCAUAGUGGGUGAUAGCCCUGUACGCGAAAAUCCCUUUGUAAUGAAAUCGAGUAGGACGGGGCACGAGAAACCUUGUCUGAAUAUGGGGGGACCAUCCUCCAAGGCUAAAUACUACUGACUGACCGAUAGUGAACCAGUACCGUGAGGGAAAGGCGAAAAGAACCGCGGAGAGCGGAGUGAAAUAGAUCCUGAAACCGUAUGCGUACAAGCAGUGGGAGCCCACUUUGUUGGGUGACUGCGUACCUUUUGUAUAAUGGGUCAGCGACUUAUUUUCAGUGGCGAGCUUAACCGAAUAGGGGAGGCGUAGCGAAAGCGAGUCUUAAUAGGGCGUCUAGUCGCUGGGAAUAGACCCGAAACCGGGCGAUCUAUCCAUGGGCAGGUUGAAGGUUGGGUAACACUAACUGGAGGACCGAACCGACUACCGUUGAAAAGUUAGCGGAUGACCUGUGGAUCGGAGUGAAAGGCUAAUCAAGCUCGGAGAUAGCUGGUUCUCCUCGAAAGCUAUUUAGGUAGCGCCUCAUGUAUCACUGUAGGGGGUAGAGCACUGUUUCGGCUAGGGGGUCAUCCCGACUUACCAAACCGAUGCAAACUCCGAAUACCUACAAGUGCCGAGCAUGGGAGACACACGGCGGGUGCUAACGUCCGUCGUGAAAAGGGAAACAACCCAGACCGUCAGCUAAGGUCCCAAAGUCAUGGUUAAGUGGGAAACGAUGUGGGAAGGCUUAGACAGCUAGGAGGUUGGCUUAGAAGCAGCCACCCUUUAAAGAAAGCGUAAUAGCUCACUAGUCGAGUCGGCCUGCGCGGAAGAUGUAACGGGGCUCAAACCAUGCACCGAAGCUACGGGUAUCAUCUUAUGAUGAUGCGGUAGAGGAGCGUUCUGUAAGCCUGUGAAGGUGAGUUGAGAAGCUUGCUGGAGGUAUCAGAAGUGCGAAUGCUGACAUGAGUAACGACAAUGGGUGUGAAAAACACCCACGCCGAAAGACCAAGGUUUCCUGCGCAACGUUAAUCGACGCAGGGUUAGUCGGUCCCUAAGGCGAGGCUGAAAAGCGUAGUCGAUGGAAAACAGGUUAAUAUUCCUGUACUUCUGGUUAUUGCGAUGGAGGGACGGAGAAGGCUAGGCCAGCCUGGCGUUGGUUGUCCAGGUUUAAGGUGGUAGGCUGAGAUCUUAGGUAAAUCCGGGAUCUCAAGGCCGAGAGCUGAUGACGAGUGUUCUUUAGAACACGAAGUGGUUGAUGCCAUGCUUCCAAGAAAAGCUUCUAAGCUUCAGGUAACCAGGAACCGUACCCCAAACCGACACAGGUGGUUGGGUAGAGAAUACCAAGGCGCUUGAGAGAACUCGGGUGAAGGAACUAGGCAAAAUGGCACCGUAACUUCGGGAGAAGGUGCGCCGGUGAGGGUGAAGCAUUUACUGCGUAAGCCCACGCCGGUCGAAGAUACCAGGCCGCUGCGACUGUUUAUUAAAAACACAGCACUCUGCAAACACGAAAGUGGACGUAUAGGGUGUGACGCCUGCCCGGUGCCGGAAGGUUAAUUGAUGGGGUUAGCGCAAGCGAAGCUCUUGAUCGAAGCCCCGGUAAACGGCGGCCGUAACUAUAACGGUCCUAAGGUAGCGAAAUUCCUUGUCGGGUAAGUUCCGACCUGCACGAAUGGCGUAACGAUGGCGGCGCUGUCUCCACCCGAGACUCAGUGAAAUUGAAAUCGCUGUGAAGAUGCAGUGUAUCCGCGGCUAGACGGAAAGACCCCGUGAACCUUUACUAUAGCUUUGCACUGGACUUUGAAUUUGCUUGUGUAGGAUAGGUGGGAGGCUUUGAAGCGUGGACGCCAGUCUGCGUGGAGCCAACCUUGAAAUACCACCCUGGCAACUUUGAGGUUCUAACUCAGGUCCGUUAUCCGGAUCGAGGACAGUGUAUGGUGGGUAGUUUGACUGGGGCGGUCUCCUCCUAAAGAGUAACGGAGGAGUACGAAGGUGCGCUCAGACCGGUCGGAAAUCGGUCGUAGAGUAUAAAGGCAAAAGCGCGCUUGACUGCGAGACAGACACGUCGAACAGGUACGAAAGUAGGUCUUAGUGAUCCGGUGGUUCUGUAUGGAAGGGCCAUCGCUCAACGGAUAAAAGGUACUCCGGGGAUAACAGGCUGAUACCGCCCAAGAGUUCAUAUCGACGGCGGUGUUUGGCACCUCGAUGUCGGCUCAUCACAUCCUGGGGCUGAAGCCGGUCCCAAGGGUAUGGCUGUUCGCCAUUUAAAGUGGUACGCGAGCUGGGUUUAGAACGUCGUGAGACAGUUCGGUCCCUAUCUGCCGUGGACGUUUGAGAUUUGAGAGGGGCUGCUCCUAGUACGAGAGGACCGGAGUGGACGAACCUCUGGUGUUCCGGUUGUCACGCCAGUGGCAUUGCCGGGUAGCUAUGUUCGGAAAAGAUAACCGCUGAAAGCAUCUAAGCGGGAAACUUGCCUCAAGAUGAGAUCUCACUGGAACCUUGAGUUCCCUAAAGGGCCGUCGAAGACUACGACGUUGAUAGGUUGGGUGUGUAAGCGCUGUGAGGCGUUGAGCUAACCAAUACUAAUUGCCCGUGAGGCUUGACCAU